GCGAAAGGAACACAAAGGACAAAGCAAAGAAUAACAGGUAACAGGAUUGUGUCUGAUGUUGUGUCCUUUGUUCUUCUUCUUUCUUUAUUCAUGCUUCAAUUAC
rnacentral:ribozyme from 1 species